UACGAAGGGUGCAAGCGUUACUCGGAAUCACUGGGCGUAAAGCGUGCGUAGGCGGUUCGUUAAGUCUGCUGUGAAAGCCCUGGGCUCAACCUGGGAACUGCAGUGGAUACUGGCGGACUAGAGUGUGAUAGAGGAUGGUGGAAUUCCCGGUGUAGCGGUGAAAUGCGUAGAUAUCGGAAGGAACACCAGUGGCGAAAGCGGCUCCUGGUCCGACACCGACGUUCAGGCACGAAAGCGUGGGGAGCAAACAGG
rnacentral:rRNA from 1 species